rnacentral:rRNA from 1 species
CCUACGGGGUGCAGCAGUGAGGAAUAUUGGUCAAUGGGCGGGAGCCUGAACCAGCCAAGUCGCGUGAGGGAUGACGGCCCUAUGGGUUGUAAACCUCUUUUGCCGGGGAGCAAAGUGCCGCACGUGUGCGGUUUGGAGAGUACCCGGAGAAAAAGCAUCGGCUAACUCCGUGCCAGCAGCCGCGGUAAUACGGAGGAUGCGAGCGUUAUCCGGAUUUAUUGGGCGUAAAGGGUGCGUAGAUGGCAUAGUAAGUCUUUUGUAAAAAUGCUGGGCUCAACCCAGUAGGGCAAAAGAUACUGCAAAGCUAGAGUAUGACAGAGGCAAGUGGAACUACAUGUGUAGCGGUAAAAUGCGUAAAUAUAUGUAAGAACACCAGUGGCGAAGGCGGCUUGCUGGGUCGAUACUGACAUUGAGGCACGAAAGCGUGGGGAGCAAACAGGAUUAGAUACCCCUGUAGUC